AAGUCGUAACAAGGUUUCCGUAGGUGAACCUGCGGAAGGAUCAUUAAUGAAACGUUUUGUCGAGAAGGGUUGCUGCUGGCCUCUCGGGGCAUGUGCACGCCUGGAUCGCAAUCCACCUCUCACACCUGUGCACAACCUGUAGCCUUGGGGAUGCUAACGGGGCCUUGGCCUCGGAUGCUCUGGGGCUAUGACAUUUUCACAAACCCAUGUAAUGUAUCAGAACGUCGAAGCUUGUAGCGCCUUCAUAAGCGUGAAUAAAUACAACUUUCAGCAACGGAUCUCUUGGCUCUC
rnacentral:misc_RNA from 1 species